AGAGGUUGAUUCUGGCUCAGGAUGAACGCUGGCGGCGUGCUUAACACAUGCAAGUCGAACGGGAAAUAUUUCAUUGAGACUUCGGUGGAUUUGAUCUAUUUCUAGUGGCGGACGGGUGAGUAACGCGUGGGUAACCUGCCUUAUACAGGGGGAUAACAGUCAGAAAUGGCUGCUAAUACCGCAUAAGCGCACAGAGCUGCAUGGCUCAGUGUGAAAAACUCCGGUGGUAUAAGAUGGACCCGCGUUGGAUUAGCUAGUUGGUGGGGUAACGGCCCACCAAGGCGACGAUCCAUAGCCGGCCUGAGAGGGUGAACGGCCACAUUGGGACUGAGACACGGCCCAGACUCCUACGGGAGGCAGCAGUGGGGAAUAUUGCACAAUGGGGGAAACCCUGAUGCAGCGACGCCGCGUGAAGGAAGAAGUAUCUCGGUAUGUAAACUUCUAUCAGCAGGGAAGAUAGUGACGGUACCUGACUAAGAAGCCCCGGCUAACUACGUGCCAGCAGCCGCGGUAAUACGUAGGGGGCAAGCGUUAUCCGGAUUUACUGGGUGUAAAGGGAGCGUAGACGGUGUGGCAAGUUUGAUGUGAAAGGCAUGGGCUCAACCUGUGGACUGCAUUGGAAACUGUCGUACUUGAGUGCCGGAGGGGUAAGCGGAAUUCCUAGUGUAGCGGUGAAAUGCGUAGAUAUUAGGAGGAACACCA
rnacentral:rRNA from 1 species